GGCUAACAGGAUCUCUUCCCGCUGGUCCGUCAGCAGGUCAGCCAGAUGAUUGAUAAUUUCAGCUCUCUGCAAGAGAAGCAAACCAUUAAAACACCAGGGCUUCCCUGUGUAGACCUGUCUGUCCCGGAGCUCACUCUGUAGACCAGACCAGCCUUGAACUCACAGAGAUCCAUCUGCCUCUGCUUCCUGAGUGCUGGGAUUGAAGGUGUGCACCACCAACGUACAGCAUUCCUGACCGGCAUGUUCCACACUCCAGCCGGACAGAGCCGCACACCCUCGGGAAGCCAGCCUCAGGUUUCACCUGGCCUCACCAUCUCCAGCUUUAUCAAGGUGCUGCUUAGACUACUUCUCUACUUCACUAUGGACAGGAGGGGAUGAACCACAGAGCCGGCCCUGAGGCUUCCCUCUGUCAGAUGCUGCAGGAAAUUCAAUGGGCAGGAAGAGGUAACUUUCCUGUGUGGACAUGAGUCAGAUCAGCAUCUUCCCUAAUCUUGUCUUUGAUCAAAACGUAGUGAUAGACUGUCUUCAGACAUACAAUUAAUUCAGACAAUUCUACUAAUAGUAGGAAUAAAUGGGGCCAGCAGACUUGACCGUUACACCAAAAUGUACAGCAUGUUUUGCUCUGAAAAUCCCACCAAGCUGUCAGUGGAUGUCCUCACCUGUUCAGGUUCUAAGGUGGCCAGCAUUCUCCCUCCAGAUCGAGCCAUCUCCCCCUGCUGCUCCACUGUAGGGCCUGCAAGAGCAUGUGCAAACUUAUCAGACCAGACUCUCACUUUUCCAGCACAUACUUCACCAAAUGCAGAAGGAACGUCGGGUUCAUGGUAUGCUUGGUUCACCCACAGAGACCAUCAAGGCCAACAGAAUGGCAACACCCCUCUCCCAACCAAUAAUAACCUAAACCACAGACAAGCAAAUGCAUGCCAGAGUAACUGGGGGAUAAACACAGAGGCUUCUCAAGCCUGAUGUAUUAGAUGAGAGUCUCUGGGCUUUCCAGAGUUCAGUUUCAUUUUGCAAGCACAUUUCUCAUGGGCUUGCAUUUGUGAGUGUGGAUAACAGGACAUACCUUUGUGUGCACUUUAGAGCUCACACAGUGUCUUAUAUACCUCUCUGCAUAGCUAGUGCUCAUUAGCUCUUAGCAUCCAGUAAGGGCCUAGCAGGUGUUUCCUUAUUUGGGAGAGUAAAAGGACUAAAUAGGCAGGUGGGUGGACUCUCACAAAAAUCCAGUUCUGUAAACAGUCUUUACAACGCCGGAAUUUAUGAUGUGACCGCACUGAUUUCAUAACCUGGAUCUGCAAGGUGAGAGCUCAGGCUUCAGUCCCAUCUAGGCUGGGAUGACGCUGGGCCUAGGACUUGAGGGAAGCUACUCACCAGCAGGCUUUACUUCUGAAAAGAAUGUGCCAACUUUCUUUCCCUCCACGAUGUCUGUGAUGACAUGCCCAGACACCUUUGGGUGGGUUCCGUUGGCAAUGACGACAGAAGUACCGCCUUGCAAAGCCCAGAGGGCGGCUUUCACCUACGGGGUCGGGUCAGAUCCAGGAUGAGAGUCACACCUAGAAACAUGCAUUCUUAACUUGCACUAUGACAUUAGUACAAUUCGACACAAGCUAAAUAAACAGAGGAACGUGUUUAAAGGUCAGGACCUGGGAAACCAUACGUAGCCCACGAUCACUUUGCAGCCACAGCCUGUGCUGCCUGAAAGGGAACCAACAAGUCCUGCUCUCUCUGAGACUCUGCAGUACUCGACUCAGAAUGUGCACAUUUUGAUUUGUUAUGCCUGAGCAUUUUGAUUUGUCAUGCCUGAACAGCUACAACUGAAUAGCUAGAGGAGUGACCAAGGCAGGGUUAUAUGAACAAGGCUCUGUUCUUCUUUUCUACCAUUGCUAACCUGGUGUUCUUCUGCAUGAAGGGUAUUCAGCCUCUGAGGGAAAGGGAUUUUGAAAAGCUUCCGGAAACAUGAGUCAAUAACAGAGGGUUUAUUAAGUGUGAACAUUACACAGGCCCUGCCCUCUAUGGGUACAACAUGGCAACAGUUACCUUUCAUUGUUUCCUUGACUGGGUUUGUAUUCACCACGGAAACACACUUCUGAAGUUCCAGAAAGCUUUAACUGGAGAAGGAGAGCCCUACCCGUGAGCUGGGGUUGCAGACUAAGUAAGGAGGAGAAAGUGAGCAGGGCACAGUUCAUCUUUACUUCCUGACUGUGAUGCAAUAUGACCGGUUACCAUGUCAGUGACUGCCAUGACUUCUCUGCCUCGAAGGACUGUGUUCUCAACCUGUGAGCCAGCUCUGAGCUCUCAAACUGUGAGCUGGGACUAAGCCCUCAACCUGUGAGCCAGCUCUGAGCUCUCAAACUCUGAGACACCAUAGCUUUGAUCAGCCAUUCUGCCAUGGCAAUGAAAUGCCAAUGAACACAUGCACAAAAUGUACUGCUUUUAUGUUAAUAAAAAUACAUCUAAAGGUAUGAUUCAAUAUAUGUAUACAACAGCCAUAAAACAUAUUUAGAUAUGGGUAUAUUUAAGUGUAUGUGUGUGGUAUCUAAACCACAACUUCCCAGACAAAGUUAACAGUAAAAAAAAAGAAAAGAUAAAAUACCAUUUGGGC